rnacentral:lncRNA from 1 species
GGAUGUUGCCUACCUUGAGUUCAAGAAGGCUUUUGAAUUUGUCUCCCAUAACAUCCUCCCAGGCACAGCAUAAUGUUCUUUUUUUCCUUCACUCUCCAAACAAUUUAUUAUUUUAUGGGCCAUAAACUUGAGGAAGCUCUUGUCUAAAGGAAGACACGAAUUAAAAAAAAGGAAAACAUUUUGUCACCUAUAAAUCAGCUUAGCACGAAACUACAAUCAAUCAGCCUCAAAGCCUGGCAACAUUUCUGGGGCUUUCAACACAGGCUUCACUACACUGUAUAGAUUCUCAAGUCAUUUGCCUUUUAAAAUUGUGUUUCACCUUUGUUAAAUGCCUUGCUGAAAGUCUGCACACUAAGAAAUCAAGUAUAAAGCGUGGUUUAUUUUCAGCACAGAACAUCUCUUGAAGUGUGAAUGAUUUCCCCAAA